rnacentral:lncRNA from 1 species
AAAAUUUAGGACAAUGAAAAAAGUUAAGGGUGAUAAAGAAAAGUAAAUAAUUUAUUUUCCUAAAAAAUUAUAAAUAAUAAAUAAAUUAAAACAAAUUUUUUUCUUUUAAAAAGUCAAUUAUUAUUAUAGAAGGGAGGGACUGGCAUGCUACUAGCAUACAAAGAAAGAGUUCAAAACUCGACCUUAGCUCAUAAAAAUGACUAAAGGGUUAAAAAGUACUAUUAAUAUUGUGCGUGCUGCUUCUUCUUCUUACAAAUUUGUACUAGCUCCUCCACCGCCCUACCAAUCUCUUGCUCUCCUUUCACUUUCAUUUUCUCACUCAAUUCCCUUGCUUUCCUCCUCAUAACCUCCCCAUUUUUCUCCAUCACGACUUUUCUUAUUACCUCUGCAAUCGCUUCUCUCUUAUACUUCCCAUUUUCAUCUCUCAUAACCUCCAUGCCCACACCAACCUCCGCCGCCAGCUUAGCAUUCAAAGGCUGAUCAAGAUGCCUGGCCAUGGCAAUUACUGGAACCCCAAACUUCACACUCUCCAUAAUAGAACUCCACCCACAAUGGCUCACAAACCCACCGGUGCUUGAAUGUCCUAAAAUUCUUGCCUGUGGAGCCCACCCCUCCACAACCAAUCCUCUGUCUCCUACCCUUUGAACAAACCCCUCUGGUAAAAUCCCUUUUUUCUCUCCUUCAGGAAAUCUCACAGCCAAUAUGAAACUAACCAUGCUAAUCUCUAGCCCAAUUGCUAAUUCUUCCAAUUCCUCAUUGGAGGGAAAAUACUCACUUCCAAAGCAGACAAACACCACUGUAGAUUCAGCCCUCUUGUCAAGCCAGUUUAUAAGAUGCCCUGUUUUUGGAUCUUCAUCAUGUCCCAUAGGAUCUUGAACGAGUGGACCAACAGGAACCAAAGUUUUCUUAGAUAAAGUGGAAAGAAAAUCAAUAUAUUUCCCUUCCAGUUCUCUAAAACUCUUAAUCAAAAUAAUGUCGCAAGAUCGUUUGAAACAAGCGACAAAAUCAUGAAAUAGCUUCAUUUUAUCUGCAGAAGGUGGUUCAGGGGUAAUAUUACUGUUAUCAUAAAAAUCUGGAAAUGGGUAUUUUUCACCUGAGUUUUUGAAAGCAUGUAGGCCCAUGGAAGAGGUGGCUGCUGCCGAGGUUAGGAAAUAAACUGCCGGAAUAUUGUGAGACGAAGCGAUUUCCGGUGCCCAUGAGGGAUUGAAAUCAUAAAUAAGCAAAUCAGGGUUUAAGGUUUUAAGGAUUUCAGAGAAGGUGGGGGCUGCUGUUUCAAAGGCGUUUCUGAGUGGGACCAUGAGAUGGGAAGGGAGGCCAUUUGUGGUGUGGUAGUGAGGGGGAAGAUCAGGGGAAGAGGGAAGAUGAAGCUCUACUAGUUUUAUAGAAGCAGAGGAAUCCUUAUCAGAUACUCUGUUCUUGAUGGAGCUAAGAUUGAUUGGGGUAGAACAGAGGAAUAUAUUACAAUUUCUUUUUGAGAGAUGCUUGGCUAGCUCAAAGAAUGGAGAAAUGUGGCCAUGGGCUAAAAAUGGCAGCAUAACUAUACUGAUUCUACCUUUUUCGAUAUCCAUGAUGAACUCUGUUUUUCUUACUAAAUAAAUUUCUCUCACCCCUCUCUACUGAUUUCAUUAGCGAAGGUGGGGUGUACUAUAUAUAAAAUAGUUAUAUUACUAUUAUACUCCGUCCGUCCCUUCCUUAUUAUUAUUUUGGGUAAUCUCAUGUUAAAUGUCUAUUUUUUUUAAUAACUAAAUUUUUACACAUUUCUUCCUAUUAUACCCAUAGCAUUAAAUAUUUUAUAUUUUUAUUAUUCUAAUUCUCUCCAUAUUUAUUAAGCAUAAUUAGUUAUGUGCUGAAAAUAUUUUGAAUUGAAAAGUUAGAAAAUUACUCUCUCACCUCCAUUGAAAAUAAUUAAAGACAUAUUAUUAUGAGUAAUUUUAUUAUUUUAUUCCUCUUUUUAAUAUGCGGAUUUUUAUCCUGGACGGAGGGAGUAAUAUACGGCGUGUAAUCAAUCACACGCGUACUGAGUGACGUAUGUAGUUUGUAUCGUUAUUGGGCGAUGAAAUUAAUGACAUUGUUGGCUGCAAAAAGAUGAAUAAGAUAUGUUGAGAUAGAAAAUAGGAAAAAUUAAUAAUAAUUUUUUUAAAACUAUCCCUUAUUAUUCUGUUUAUUUUUUUAAUAUUUUAAACUCUUUCUCUCUUUUUAUCCUAACAAAAGAUUUAAGAGUAUUAUAGACAAUUGAGUAUUAUUAUAUUUAAUAUUUUUUAAUCAUUAUUUUAAUUCUUAUGUCCACUUUUAAAUAGGAAAUAGUAAUUUUCCUAUUAAGAGUACUACUCCAUAAUUUUAUUAUUGUUAUUAAUUAAGCUCAUUAAAUGAUAAUACUUAUUCUUUGCCUUGUGUACUUAUCCUUCUAUGCAGAUAGAGAAUAAUAGGAUCGGUCGGAAUAACAAAAAGCACCAAUAAUUUAUUUAUUCGUUGGAAUAAAAUUCUUUUAUCAAUUUUCUAUUUUUAAUGAUCGUCAUUUUUUAUGCAAAUGUCACUUGUGUUGGCUAACGGACAACUUGCUUAAGCUAAAAUAAGUAAAUAACGAGUGCCGUCCAAAGUUUUGCCUCUUUUUUAAUCAUUUUUUAUUAGUAUUAUUGGAUGCCCAUUUUUUAAAUUUAUUGCUGAUGUUACUACGCAUUUUGAAAAGUUAAAGCAUGCACCUUUUCGCCGAAGGCUUUUAUUUUUUUUUAGAUAUUUUUGCAUUAAAAAAAUAAUAUUUUUAUAUCAAAAUUUAUAACGAUAUUUUUUAUGUAAAAAUAUUACAAAAUAUUAUGAAAAUAUCAAUUUAUUUAAAAAAAUGACAAAAUAUUAAUGGCAAACUGCAAGUAUAAUUUUAUACUAGAUGGUUUAAUAUUACAAUGUAUACAUUUCUAAAUAUUAUAUUGUCCGAUUCUAAAUAAGUGAUACAUUUUAAUUUUUUAGAGUCAAUUUAUAAAAUUUUAAAUUUUAAAAUUAAUAUAAUCUGGUUCAAGUUUUAAAAAUAGUAAAGAUAAUAUUUUAUACUUAUUUUAUAAUUAUUAUUUUUAUUUGUACUAAAACUAAAUCAUUUCAUAUCAAUUUUAAAAUUUUAUAAACCGAUUUUAAAAAAAUCAAAACAUUUCUCUUAUUUUAAAAUGAAUUGAGUAUAAGUUGGUCAAAAGUUGGUUGGUUAUGGGUCAUGUUCACAAGUAUAUAAGAAUAUUACUAUAAACAUGACUUUAAGACUUGGUUGUUACGGAAAAAUGUUGUCCUCUAUCCUCAAAAGACGGUCUUUAAUUUACAAAAUAUUUUAUUUCUAAAAAAUAUAUUUUAAAUAUACAAGUUAAAAAUAAAAUAAUUAUAAGACUAAUUUACCCUAAAAAAUAUAUUAAAAUAAGAUCCACUAAAUUUAAAGAGACAAACAUUUAUUAGUAUAAUAGAAUGGAGUUCACCAUGAACAAGAUUGAUAUUUAUUUUAUACUAAUUCCACUCUUUUAAGUUUCAAUUAUCUAAUACCCCCAUCAAAGAAAUCAAAACAAAAUUGAAAGAGAGGAAAUUAAUGGAGCCCUUUUCAAUGUUUUAAUUCUCGUGUUAUGUUUGGAUUGAAAAAUUAAAAUUAGUAAAAGAAUGGAAUAGAGAAGAUAAUAAAAUGGAAUAGAAAGUGAAAAAAUUUAUUUCAUUUCAGCUAAAAUGAUUCAUUUCAUUUUAAUGAACAACCAAACACGAGUUAUUCUAUUUUCACCUUUAUUUCUCUAAUCUACAAAAGUUUUUUAUUUAUUUAUAAUUAAUAACUUAUGAAAUGACACAAUAUUCUAACUAUAGGUAUCAUAAUUUAUUAUCAAACUAACGAUGUUUUUUUUGUUUGGGCAAAUGAACAGAGAUAAAAUUCAAGUAUAUAACAAGUUAAAGAGGAGAUAAAUUAAUUUGUAAGAAUAAUUUGAUUAUUAAUUUAUAAUUUUUAAAUAUAAUGAGUAUAAUCAUAUAUACAUGCACCCAUUAUUAUUUACCAAAAAACAUUCUCAUUAAUUGAUUAAAUUUUUUUUCACUUUAAAUAUACUCCAAAAGGAAUAUAAGCUAUAUUGGUACAUGAAUAAUACUAGAUCCCUAAAGUAUUAUAUUUUCAUCAACUAAAAACCUAUUUUAGAUUGACAAUAAACUAGAAUUCUGACAUAUAAUUCAAUUACUAUCAUUUAUAAAAAUCACCAAUCAAAUAAUUAUUCUAGAGUCCUAGCUAAAGUAAAUGUACACUACAUUUAAUUAUUUAUCUUAAAAUUCACCGAAAUAAACUUACAAUAUAUAAUUCAAUUAUUCAUCUAACUAGAUAAAAAUUUAAUAAAUCAAUAUUAUUUUCUCAAAAUUCUAAUAUAUCAUAUUUAUACUAAGAAUAAAGAAACUUUUACACAUCCGGUCGAAGUUCACACAAUUUAAAUAGAAUAUAUAUAUAUAUAUAUAUAUAUAUAUAUAUAUUCAAUAACAAUAACAACAACAACAAUAAUAAUAAUAAUAAUAAUUUUAAAAAAAAACUAACAAUUGAAUUAAUUAAAUGGAACAUUAAAUUAGUAAAUAAUUGUGAAAAACAAUGAACCUAAAUUGAAAUGAAUUACAAUCGCCAAAAAAAAGAGAAAAAAGAAAGAUAACUUUUUUUUUUAUUAUUAUAUUCAACUGAAAUUUAUUAUUUCUGUCUUUUGACAAAAAUAGAUCCCAAACCUCAUGCACUCAAGCCUAAUCAAUAAAUUUUUUAACCAUUGAACCAUGGUAUGAAAGAUAACUCGUGACUCACACAGGUUCCAAGCUUGUAUAUGUUAAACUUCAUGUGACUGAAAAAACUAAUCAACUGCAAUCAUAACUAGGAGUCGUUUCAGGGUGUUGGAGUGUGGUUUGAUGGGUUCGGGGGAAUGGAAGGGUCACAGUUGAUCUAUAAAUCCCUUGUUUUAAUUAGCUUAAUUCUUCUUUUUGAAGAAGUCAAAUCUGGACUUACAAUUAUAAGGACCAUCAACAUAGGAUUGUUCAUUGUGCAUGUUUAAGUUCAUUAAUUGGUGAUUUAAUAAGCGGAUAAAUUUCGACGUUAACACAAGAUAUGAAAUUCAAUGAGACGAGAGAAGGCUUUCCUCCCAUACGUGGACCUACUUGAGAUGAGCAGAAUAUGUCUGAGCAACUUUGUCAGAUCAGGAAUCUGUUAAAUUUUGCCUCGGUUAGGCUAGCUGUAAGACAGACAUCAUCACAGAGAGGUUAAAGAGUAGCUAGCUGAGAAAAAAUCUGUUCUUUCACGUACAAUAUACUUGGCAAGACAUUGUAGACUUUUAGCAGAGCUUAAUUUAGUUUUAUUACAUACCAAACCAAUGAAAAUCAACCAUUCCUUGGUUUAGUACAAAAACCACUUGAAUUAUAGCAUACAAAGAAAGAGUUCAAAACCCAACCUAAGCGCAUUCAAAAUUAGUACUACUACUAUUACUAUUGUGCAUCUUUCUUCUUCUUACAAAUUUGUACUAGCUCCUCCACUGCCCUAUCAAUCUCUUCCUCUCCUUUCUCUUUCAUUUUCUCACUCAAUUCCCUUGCUUUCCUCCUCAUAACCUCCCCACUUUUCUCCACAACGACUUUUCUUAUUACCUCUGCAAUCCCUUCUCUCUUAUACUUCCCAUUUUCAUCUCUCACAACCUCCAUGCCCACACCAACCUCCGCCGCCAGCUUACCAUUCAAAGGCUGAUCAAGAUGCCUGGCCAUGGCAAUUACUGGAACCCCAAACUUCAUACUCUCCGCAAUAGAACUCCACCCACAAUGGCUCACAAACCCACCGGUGCUUGAAUGUCCUAAAAUUCUUGCCUGUGGAGCCCACCCCUCCACAACCAAUCCUCUGUCUCCUACCCUUUGAACAAAUCCCUCUGGUAAAACCCCUUUUUUCUCUCCUUCAAUUAAUCUCACAGCCCAUAUGAAAUUAACCAUGCUAAUCUCUAGCCCAAUUGCUACUUCUUCCAAUUCCUCAUUGGAGAGAAAAUACUCACUUCCAAAGCAGACAAACACCACUGUAGAUUCAGCCCUUUUGUCAAGCCAGUUUAUAAUCUGCUCUGUUUUUGGAUCUUCAUUAUGGCCCAUAGGAUCUUGAACGAGUGGACCAACAGGAACCAAAGUUUUAUCAGAUAAAGUGGAAAGCAAAUCGAUAUAUUUCCCUUCUAGUUCUAUAAAACUCUUAAUCAAAAUAAUGUCGCAAGAUCGUUCGAAACAAGCGAUAAAAUCAUGAAGUAGCUUCAUGUUAUCUGCAGAAGGUGGUUCAGGGGUAUUAUUACUGUUAUCAUAAAAAUCUGGAAAUGGGUAUUUUUCACCUGGGUUUUUGAAAGCAUGUAGGCCAAUGGAAGAGCUGGCUGCUGCCGUGGUUAGGAAAUAAACUGCCGGAAUAUUGUGAGACGAAGCGAUCUCCGGUGCCCAUGAGGGAUUGAAAUCAUAAAUAAGCAAAUCGGGGUUUAAGGUUUUAAGGAUUUCAGAGAAGGUGGGGCCUGCUGUUUCAAAGGCGUUUAUGAGUGGGACCAUGAGAUGGGAAGGGAGGCCAUUUGUGGUGUGAUAGUGAGGAGGAAGAUCAGGGGAAGAUGGAAGAUGAAGCUCAACUAGUUUUAUAGAAGCAGAGGAAUCCUUAUUCUUGAUGGAGCUAAGAUUGAUUGGGGUAGAACAGAGGAAAACAUUGCAAUUUCUUUUUGCGAGUUGUUUGGCUAGCUCAAAGAAGGGAGAUAUGUGACCAUGGGCUAAAAAUGGUAGCAACGCUAUACUGAUUCUACCUUCUUGGUUAUCCAUGAAUGAACUCUGUUUGUUUCUCUCUCUCUUGCUGUAUAAUUUCAUUAGCCAAGGGUGUGUAUAUAAAUAAAAGAGUAAAAUAUAUUGACACCCCCCGUACAUAAUUAUAAUAACACUCACCAUUUUUUUAGUUUUUCAAGUAACAGUCAGUACCCCUCUAAUCUACAAUAUGUAACAUUCACCGCCUCUAGUAUGGUUGACCAACUAAUAUUUAAAAAUAUUUUUAAUAUAAUGUCUAAUACACCCUUCAAGUUAUAAUGUUUAAUUUCUCCACUAAAUAUAAAUUUGUAUAUCAUAAUUUUUAUUUUACUUGAUCUAAUUAAUUAAAUUAUGAAAUUGUGUAAUAAAUAACAUAAAAGUCAAAAAAUAAUAAAUAUUCAUUUUAUCAGGAAAAUAAAGUCAUGCAAUUUUUAUUAAUUAAAUUUCUCAAAUAUUAAAAUUUAUGUGAUAUAUAUUCAAAUAAUUUUUUUUAAUUAAAAAGUAUAAUAUUAAUACCCAUGAAAAUUACAAAUUAACGCAAUAAAAUUAUUAUUAUUAUUUUCAAAUAUUAAAAUUUACGUAAAACAAACUUAUUAUUACAAUUUAAACGAAUCUUAUUACUCAUAUAAAAAAGUAUUAAAAAUUAUAUUAAUUAUUUUUCUCAUAUAUUAAACUAAACAUAAGUCACACUUAAACAUAAUUAUUUACAGUAAAAAUGACAAAUGUUGUUACUUAAAAAAGAAAAGAAAAAAUAUAUGAAAAGAAUUUUUUUUUAAAAAGAUAGAGGUAGUAAUAAUAUAAUUAUAUUUUUUUAUUUAAUAUUACAUAAAAACAGCGUCAACUGUAUACUAAAAAAAUAUAAUCAAAAUCAUAAACAUCCCAAUUUUUUAUAUAUACUCAAUAAAAAUUAUAAUAUGAAAUAAAAUUCAAAUAAUAUUUUUUGUUGUUAAGUACCAAAAAUUAAACUAUCAAUAUACUCAAUCACUCUAAUUAGAAUAGCUUCAUUAAUAAUUUAAUUUUUUUAAAUAUUUAUAUCACUUAUCCAAAAAUAUGUGUUAGUUAAAGUAAAUUAAUUUUUUAUAAGUUACCAACAAUUUAAAUGAGAUAGUUUUAAUUAUAAAUAAAAUUAUAAUUAAAAUGUCUUGUAUUAAAAAAAAGGAUAAUUAAAUAUAUAUAUAUAUAUAUUAUUUAGUAAUUAAAAUUUGAUAAAAUACAAGGGUAAAUAUGUAAUUUUAUCUAUUUAGUCAAUCCUAAAAACUUGCAGAGGUACUAACUGUUAUUUAAAAAAUUAGAGGAGAGGUGAAUGUUAUUAUGAUUAUCUAGAGGGGAUGUCACUGUAUUUUAUUCUAAAUAAAAUAAGUGGACAAGGGGUAGCGCCGCCCAAGAAGACGAGAUUGAGAUUGGGAUUGGGAAUUGGAAAGAGUGGCCUAUAACUCUUGAUCCCAACACGUGUUAAACGUGAUUGGGAAAGACAGGCAUAUAAGUCUUGUUGUCCCAAUUGUGUGUUGAUCUUAAAACUUAAAACUUCGCGUGGCUGAAAUAAAUAAGCCACUGCAAUCAAAAAUCAAAACUAUGAUUCUAUUAUAAAGUCACGCCAUUUUAUUAAUUUUUUUUAUAAAUAUAUUAUUGAAUUUAUUAAGUAAAAUAAUUUUAAUAAGAAUAUAUUUUCUUUCAAAAAUUAUAAGUAUUAUUUAACUUAUAAUAAAAUUUUAUUUAUACUUAAACUUAAUUAAUUACAUUUGUAUUUUAAUUAAGGGUAAAAGUUCAAAUUAGGUAAUACUAUAUAUGUGGAAGAAAAAAAAUUGUCAAACUAUAUUAUCUAGGCUAUAAUAAAAUUUUAUUUAUUAAUGGUAAUAAUUAAUUUUCCAGAUAUAUGACCCAAAAAUGUAGCAAACUGCCACUGCCUAACCAUUAGAGGUCAUUCUCACCAAGGCACGACUCUAGAAGUUCGAAAUUCCAUAGACAAUCUAAACCACAAUUAUGCAUUGUAAAUAUCACAUAUUAAGCAUAAUUAAAAAUGGGAAAUAAAGUAAUUAAGUUGGAAGAUUCUGAACGGUCCUUGUUCUUUAUCAAUUAAAAGAUUUAAAAUGUUCUGUUUGAGUAUAUAGAUAUCCUGAAUUUUUAAUAUUUUUUCAUUUUAGGAUUGUCUUUUCAAUUUUUUCUAUUACAAGAUUAAAUUUUUAAUUUUUUUUUAUUACGUCUAAUUGAUAAUAUCAUGUCAGAAAAUUAAUGACAUAGUAGCGACACAUAACUAAAAAAAUACUUAUAUAUAUUAUUGAGUCUCAUUUUAAUAUUUAUUCAAAAAAAAAAAUAAAGGUGUAAAUUCGCAGUACCGUAAAUACCAUUUACUUAAAAUGAUGGAACCAAGUUGUUUAAAUUUUUACAUCAUUUAAAAAAAUAUCAUUGACCCUUGUUAUCCAUUUUCCAUCAUAACAUGGAAUCUCUCAUACAUGAUAUAACAAUUCUUAAUCACUUAUUUUUAAAUACAUUCAGAUCUAAUUUUCAUAUUUGUAUAAAAAAAUCUCCUUCAAUUUAAUUCAGCUCUCUACAUACUGCGCGUUAACUAUAAUUAAGACCUUUCAAAUUACUUUUAGAAGGUAAAAUAUCUAUAAAUAAAAUUAAAUACUCCACUACUUGUCUUAUUAUUGGGACGGUCUCAUCGUGAUUAGUGCCAAUUAUAUAUUACUAUUUUCGUUCUUAAGAGAUUGUCAUUUAAGAUUUUUACAUAUGAAUUAAAAAAUUACUGUAUAAUUUAUCAAGUAAAAUUUAUUUGAAAUUCCAUCACUACCUCUUUAUGGGAAAUUAAAAACUAUUAAUACAAAGAAGAGAAUUUUUUCGGACAAUGAGAGAAAGUAGAGAUAAUAUAGAAAAGUAAAUAAUUUAUUCUUCUCAAAAGUUAUAAACGACAAAUAUUUUAAAAUAUAUUUUUUUUAAAACGAUAAUCUUUUAACAACGGGAGGAGUAAUAUAAUUGGCAAGACAUUGUAGGCUUUUAGCAGCUUAAUUUAGUUUUAUUACAUACCAAACCAAUGAAAAUCAACCAUUCCUUGAUUUUCUUCACAACACAAAGUCCAAGUACACAAACCACUUUAAUUAUAGCAUACAAAGAAAGAGUUCAAAGCCCAACCUAAGCGCAUUCAAAAUGAUUUUAAAGGGAAAAAAAUUAGUCUAUUACUACUAUUGUUCAUCUUUCUUCUUCUUACAAAUUUGUACUAGCUCCUCCACUGCCCUAUCAAUCAAUUGCUCUCCUAUCUCUUUCAUUUUCUCACUCAAUUCCCUUGCUUUCCUCCUGAUAACCUCCCCACUUUUCUCCACCACGACUUUUCUUAUUACCCCUGCAAUAUCUUCUCUCUUAUACUUCCCAUUUUCAUCUCUCACAACCUCCAUGCCCACACCAACCUCCGCCGCCAGCUUAGCAUUCAAAGGCUGAUCAAAAUGCCUGGCCAUGGCAAUUACUGGAACCCCAAACUUCAUACUCUCCGUAAUAGAACUCCACCCACAAUGGCUCACAAACCCACCGGUGCUUGAAUGUCCUAAAAUUCUUGCCUGUGGAGCCUACCCCUCCACAACCAAUCCUCUGUCUCCUACCCUUUGAACAAACCCCUCUGGUAAAACCCCUUUUUUCUCUCCUUCAAUUAAUCUCACAGCCCAUAUGAAAUUAACCAUGCUAAUCUCUAGCCCAAUUGCUACUUCUUCCAAUUCCUCAUUGGAGAGAAAAUACUCACUUCCAAAGCAGACAAACACCACUGUAGAUUCAGCCCUUUUGUCAAGCCAGUUUAUAAACUGCUCUGUUUUUGGAUCUUCAUUAUGGCCCAUAGGAUCUUGAACGAGUGGACCAACAGGAACCAAAGUUUUAUCAGAUAAAGUAGAAUAAAAAUCAAAAUAUUUCCCUUCUAGUUCUCUAAAACUCUUAAUCAAAAUAAUGUCGCAAGAUCGUUCGAAACAAGUCAUAAAAUCAAGUAAUAACUUCAUGUUAUCUGCUGAAGGUGGUUCAGGGGUAAUAUUACUGUUAUCAUCAAAAUCUAGAAAUGGGUAUUUUUCACCUGGGUUUUUGAAACUAUGUAGGCUCAUGGAAAAGGAGGCUGCUCCCCCAAUUAUGAAACAAACUGCCGGAAUAUUGUGAGACGAAGCGAUCUCCGGUGCCCAUGAGGGAUUGAAAUCAUAAAUAAGCAAAUCAGGGUUUAAGGUUUUAAGGAUUUCAGAGAAGGUGGGGCCUGCUGUAUCAAAGGCGUUUCUGAGUGGGAUCAUGAGAUGGGAAGGGAGGCCAUUUGUGGUGUGGUAGUGAGGAGGAAGAUCAGGGGAAGAUGGAAGAUGAAGCUCUACUAGUUUUAUAGAAGCAGAGGAAUCCUUAUCAGAUAUUCUGUUCUUGAUG